rnacentral:rRNA from 1 species
UAAAUUCAGCGUGGCCUAUACUUGCAAGUCGAGCGGAAGAUGGGAGCUUGCUCCCUGAUGUUAGCGGCGGACGGGUGUGUUACAAGUGGGUAACCUGCCUGUAAGACUGGGAUAACUUUGGGAAACCGGGGCUAAUACCGGAUGGUUGUUUGAACCGCAUGGUUCAAACAUAAAAGGUGGCUUCGGCUACCACUUACAGAUGGACCCGCGGCGCAUUAGCUAGUUGGUGAGGUAACGGCUCACCAAGGCAACGAUGCGUAGCCGACCUGAGAGGGUGAUCGGCCACACUGGGACUGAGACACGGCCCAGACUCCUACGGGAGGCAGCAGUAGGGAAUCUUCCGCAAUGGACGAAAGUCUGACGGAGCAACGCCGCGUGAGUGAUGAAGGUUUUCGGAUCGUAAAGCUCUGUUGUUAGGGAAGAACAAGUACCGUUCGAAUAGGGCGGUACCUUGACGGUACCUAACCAGAAAGCCACGGCUAACUACCUGCCAGCAGCCGCGGUAAUACGUAGGUGGCAAGCGUUGUCCGGAAUUAUUGGGCGUAAAGGGCUCGCAGGCGGUUUCUUAAGUCUGAUGUGAAAGCCCCCGGCUCAACCGGGGAGGGUCAUUGGAAACUGGGGAACUUGAGUGCAGAAGAGGAGAGUGGAAUUCCACGUGUAGCGGUGAAAUGCGUAGAGAUGUGGAGGAACACCAGUGGCGAAGGCGACUCUCUGGUCUGUAACUGACGCUGAGGAGCGAAAGCGUGGGGAGCGAACAGGAUUAGAUACCCUGGUAGUCCACGCCGUAAACGAUGAGUGCUAAGUGUUAGGGGUUUUUUCUCCCCCUUAGUGCUGCAGCUAAACGCAUUA